rnacentral:rRNA from 1 species
UACGGGGGGAGCAAGCGUUGUUCGGAUUUACUGGGCGUAAAGCGUGCGCAGGCGGUCUCGCAAGUCCGAUGUGAAAUCCCCGGGCUCAACCUGGGAACUGCGUUGGAAACUACGAGGCUGGAGUACGGCAGAGGGGGGUGGAAUUCCACGUGUAGCAGUGAAAUGCGUAGAUAUGUGGAGGAACACCAGUGGCGAAGGCGAGUCCCUGGACAACUCCUGACACUGAGGCACGAAAGCUAGGGGGAGCAAACAGG